GUGGCAGCAGCGAAACCUGCAGAGCCCGGGGCGGCAGCCUGGAACCUGGGCAGCAGCGGAGCCCCGCAUAAAACGUGGGGAUGCUGCAGCCCCCCUGCACUGCUAGUUCCCAUGCUUAUGUUUUGGGGCCCCCUGUGGUUGGGGCCCUGUGCUAUGGCAUGGCAUGUUUCGGGGUAAAUCCACUCCUGAAGUAAGGUGUAUAGAUCCCCAGAGAUCGCAGUGUCGCUCGUGAAUCUUUGUGUGUGUGAAGAGUUGUCGGUCUUUUCUGUGAAGAGUUUGGGCCCUUCGAAUGGCAAGUCUUCGACUGUCGAUUGUACUUCCCUAGGAAACCCAGAGAGAUGGAGCCAUGAAGUCCUUCACAUCACUGCAGUCGCCACUGUCCUUGCAGCUGUGUCUGCAGAGUCCAGUGCAGCUUGGAGGGCUGUUCUGGAGACGAGUUGUCCCUCUGAUACAAGUGCAGUGAAUUGUUCUUUUUUGUCUUCAGAAAUAUAAUCAAUAAAUUCAGAAAACUUUG